rnacentral:tRNA from 1 species
UGGCUCAGACGGUAAAGCAUCUGUCUGCAAAGCAGGAGACCCGGGUUCGAUCCCUGG